rnacentral:rRNA from 1 species
GGCCACAGCCAUUUCCCCCUGCAGCUCAAGACCGGUUACUCACUGAAGCUAAGCAAGGCUGAGCCUGGUCAGUACCUGGAUAGGAGACCACAUGGGAAAACUAGGUUGCUGUUGGAA